rnacentral:rRNA from 1 species
GACGAACGCUGGCGGCGUGCUUAACACAUGCAAGUCGAACGGGCCUUGUCCCCUUUUUUUUUGGGGGUGGGGUUAGUGGCGAACGGGUGAGUAACACGUGAGUAACCUGCCCCUCACUUCUGGAUAACCGCUUGAAAGGGUGGCUAAUACGGGGUGUUCUGGCCUGCUCGCAUGGGUGGGUUUGGAAAGAUUCGACCGGUUUUGGUUGUUUUGGUGGGGGAUGGGCUCGCGGCCUAUCAGCUUGUUGGUGGGGUGAUGGCCUGCCAAGGCUUUGACGGGUAGCCGGCCUGAGAGGGUGGGCGGUCACACUGGGACUGAGACACGGCCCAGACUCCUACGGGAGGCAGCAGUGGGGAAUAUUGCACAAGGGGCGCAAGCCUGAUGCAGCGACGCCGCGUGAGGGAUGGAGGCCUUCGGGUUGUGAACCUCUUUCGCCAGUGAAGAAGGUCCUGCUCUUUGUGGUGGGGUUGACGGUAGCUGGGUUAAUGAAGCGCCGGCUAACUACGUG